GGCCUUAUCACACUAAAAACACCGAAUCUCGUUCGAUCACCAAAGUUAAGCAGCUUCGAGCCCGGUCAGUACUUAGAUGGGUAACCGCUUGGAAACACAGGGUACUGUAAG
rnacentral:rRNA from 1 species